GCCUCCGUAGCUCAGGGGAUAGAGCGUCUGCCUCCGGAGCAGAAGGCCGCAGGUUCGAUUCCUGCCGGGGGCACCA
rnacentral:tRNA from 3 species